rnacentral:lncRNA from 1 species
GAUAAUCCAAUUGGAGACAAGGAACAGGAACUCGGCCAGCAACAUCAAACACUGAUGCAAACUCUAUAGCUCUACAACUACUACAACUACAACUACCCAGUAUACUCCCACCAAGUGGGGUCUGGGGAAGGUAAUAUGUAGACUGCCUUACCCCUACCCAAAAGGGCAGAGAGGCUGCUUCCAAGCGACCCUCGGCGCAUAGGACAGAAUGAAGAGC